rnacentral:lncRNA from 1 species
CCCUAACAGUAUAACUUUGCAACGAGUGCUUUUUCACAUUUUAUCGAAGAAAGCGUCAAACCUAAUUAUAUUGCUCUAUAAUGCCCAGAGAGUGUAAAUUUGGAACGAAUCGAUAUCAACACUCACAAAAAUAAAAACCGGAACAACAUUUGAGUACUCAGUUGCGCCUUAACAGUAUAACUUUGCAACCAGUACUUUUUCUCAUUUUAUCGAAGUAAGCGUCAAACCUAAUUAUAUUAUUCUAUUAUGCCCAGAGAGUGUAAAUUUGGAACGAUUCGAUGUCAACGCUCACAAGAACAAAAACCGGAACAACAUUAGACUCUUCAGUUGCACCCUAACAGUAUAACUUUGCAACGCGUACUUUUUCUCGUUUUAUCGAAGAAAGCGUAAAAUCUAAUUAUAUUGUUGUAUUAUGCCCAGAUAGUGUAAAUUUGGAACGAAUCGAUGUCAACGCUCACAAGAACAAAAACCGGAACAACAUUAGAGCACUCAGUUCCGCCAUAACAGUAUAACUUUGCAACGAGUGCUUUUUUUCAUUUUAUCGAAGAAAGCGUAAAACCUAGUUAUAUUAUUCUAUUAUGCCCAGAGAGUGUAAAUUUGGAACGAAUCGAUUUCAACGCUCACAAGAACAAAAACCGGAACAACAUUAGACUACUCAGUUGCGCCCUAACAGUAUAACUUUGCAACGAGUACUUUUUCUCAUUUAUCGAAGAAAGCGUCAAACCUAAUUAUAUUGUUCUAUCUUGCCCAGAGAGUGUAAAUUUGGAACGAAUCGAUGUCAAAGCUCACAAGAACAAAAAUCGGAUCAAUAUUAGACUACUCAGUUGCGCCCUAACAGUAUAACUUUGCAACGAGUGCUUUUUCUCAUUUUAUCGAAGAAAGCGUAAAUCUAAUUAUAUUGUUCUAUUAUACCUAGAGAGUGUAAAAUUGGAACGAACUGAUGUGAGCGCUCACAAGAACAAAAACCGGAUCAAUAUUAGACUACUCAGUUCCGCCCUAACAGUAUAACUUUGCAACGAGUACUUUUUCUCAUUUAUCGAAGAAAGCGUCAAACCUAAUUAUAUUGUUCUAUUAUGCCCAGAGAGUGUAAAUUUGGAACGAAUCGAUUUUAAAGCUCACAAGAACAAAAACCGGAACAAUAUUAGACAACUCAGUUGCGCCCGAACAGUAUAACUUUGCAACGAGUGCUUUUUCUCAUUUUAUCGAAGAAAGCGUCAAACCUCAUUAUAUUGUUCUAUUAUGCCGAGAGAGUGUAAAUUUGGAACGAAUCGAUGUCAACGCUCACAAGAACAAAAACCGGAACAACAUUAGACUCUUCAGUUGCACCCUAACAGUAUAACUUUGCAACGCGUACUUUUUCUCGUUUUAUCGAAGAAAGCGUAAAAUCUAAUUAUAUUGUUGUAUUAUGCCCAGAUAGUGUAAAUUUGGAACGAAUCGAUGUCAACGCUCACAAGAACAAAAACCGGAACAACAUUAGAGCACUCAGUUCCGCCAUAACAGUAUAACUUUGCAACGAGUGCUUUUUUUCAUUUUAUCGAAGAAAGCGUAAAACCUAGUUAUAUUAUUCUAUUAUGCCCAGAGAGUGUAAAUUUGGAACGAAUCGAUUUCAACGCUCACAAGAACAAAAACCGGAACAACAUUAGACUACUCAGUUGCGCCCUAACAGUAUAACUUUGCAACGAGUACUUUUUCUCAUUUUAUCGAAGAAAGCGUAAAAUCUAAUUAUAUUGUUCUAUUAUUCCCAGAUAGUGUAAAUUUGGAACGAAUUGAUGUCAACGCUCACAAGAACAAAAACCGGAACAACUUUAGACUACUCAGUUGCGCCUAACAGUAUAACUUUGCAACGAGUACUUUUUCUCAUUUUAUCGAAGAAAGCGUCAAAACUAAUUAUAUUGUUCUAUUACGCCCAGAGAGUGUAAAUUUGGAACGAAUUGAUGUCAACGCUCACAAGAACAAAAACUGGAACAAAAUUAGGCUACUUAGUUGCGCCCUAACAGUAUAACUUUGCAACGAGUGCUUUUUCACAUUUUAUCGAAGAAAGCGUCAAACCUAAUUAUAUUGCUCUAUAAUGCCCAGAGAGUGUAAAUUUGGAACGAAUCGAUAUCAACACUCACAAAAAUAAAAACCGGAACAACAUUUGAGUACUCAGUUGCGCCUUAACAGUAUAACUUUGCAACCAGUACUUUUUCUCAUUUUAUCGAAGUAAGCGUCAAACCUAAUUAUAUUAUUCUAUUAUGCCCAGAGAGUGUAAAUCUGGAACGAAUCGAUGUCAACGCUCACAAGAACAAAAACCGGAACAACAUUAGACUACUCAGUUGCGCCAUAACAAUAUAACUUUGCAACGAGUACUUUUUCUUAUUUUAUCGAAGAAAGCGUAAAUCCUAAUUAUAUUAUUCUAUUAUGCCCAGAGAGAGUAAAUUUAGAACCAAUCGAUGUCAACGCUCACAAGAACAAAAAUCGGAACAACAAUAGACUACUCAGUUGCACCCUAACAGUAUAACUUUACAACGAGUGCUUUUUCUCAUUUUAUCGAAGAAGGCGUCAAACCUAAUUAUAUUGUUCUAUUAUUCCGAGAAAGUGUAAAUUUGGAACGAAUCGAUGUCAAAGCUCACAAGAACAAAAACCGGAACAAUAUUGGACUACUCAGUUGCGCCCUAACAGUAUAACUUUGCAACGAGUGCUUUUUCCCAUUUUAUCGAAGAAAGCGUAAAUGCUAAUUAUAUUGUUCUAUUAUGCCCAGAGAGUGUAAAUUUGGAACGAACCGAUGUCAGCGCUCACAAGAACAAAAACCGGAACAACAUUAGACUAAUCAGUUGCGCCCGAACAGUAUAAUUUUGCAACGAGUGAUUUUUCUCAUUUUAUCGAAGAAAGCGUCAAACCUAAUUAUAUUGUUCUAUUAUGCCCAGAGAGUGUAAAUUUGGAACGAAUCGAUGUCAACGCUCACAUGAACAAAAAUCGGGACAACAUUAGACUACUGAGUUGCGCCCUAACAGUAUAAAUUUGCAACGAGACCUUUUUCUCAUUUUAUCGAAGAAAGCAUCAAACCUAAUUAUAUUGUUCUAUUAUGCCCAGACAGUGUAAUUUUGGAACGAAUCGAUGUCAACGCUCACAAGAAUAAAAACCGGAACAAC